GAGCGGUCGCCAUGGUGCACAGAAGAUCCUCAGUCAUAGUUAACAAAAUGGAAAAAAUUAGCUGUGUUUUUAAGAUUCCAGUGGUGGCCAUCAACUGCUCAGGAAAGCAGCCCAGAAUCACUUCACAACAGGUUUCCAAAGGAUCAUCAUUCAUCAGCACAGAAGGGUGGGAAAGAGAAGGCUGUUCAAAUUCUGAAAAGCCAGAGCUGCAAAGGAGGUCAAAGAUGCAGUGCAGUUGGCCCACUCAGUAGAGUUUCACUAGUGGUUCUGAUGUGGACUGAAGAUUACACGCUGGAUUGAAGUGGCCGGUCUGGAGCAGCUGUAGUUCACCAUUCUUGCUGAUUGUGGACGAGUAAGAGCCCGCGUUGGCCCCGAUCGGCGAUCGCUGGCCAAAGCCCACCACCAGUUUGGUGAUAGGCGUUGGCUGUGAUAUCUAGUGUCGCCUAUGUGUGAAAAGGACAAGUUGAUAACAAAACCUGUUGCGCCAUGUUAUUAACCCGCGCCCGGGUGGCCCUCAGCCAACUUGGUGGGGGGGGGGGGGGAGGUGUAUUCGGCCACACCAGGUUAUCUUGGAAUGUAGCAAAGCUGGAAAGACGCAGUAAAAUCAAUCUAUAGAUCGCUAUUUUUCUUCAGAAUCACACAGGUCAUUUUUGAUCAGGUCAUCGCUGAGGUCACUGGAGGUCACCAAAAGUAAAAUGAUGACGAAUUUUGGCCCCCGAUUUUGACAACUUCACAAAUUGGUUCAUAAUUCGGGAACCAAAGAAGCUACAGCGCCGCGGAAAAGCGAAUUCGAUAGCUCUUUCGAAAAUCUUUCAGGUUCUCAUAUUUGAGCUAAGGUCAACUAGGGUUA
rnacentral:lncRNA from 1 species